rnacentral:rRNA from 1 species
AUUGAACGCUGGCGGCAUGCCUUACACAUGCAAGUCGAACGGCAGCACGGGUGCUUGCACCUGGUGGCGAGUGGCGAACGGGUGAGUAAUAUAUCGGAACGUGCCCUAGAGUGGGGGAUAACGUAGCGAAAGUUACGCUAAUACCGCAUACGAUCUACGGAUGAAAGUGGGGGAUCGCAAGACCUCAUGCUCAUGGAGCGGCCGAUAUCUGAUUAGCUAGUUGGUGGGGUAAAAGCCUACCAAGGCGACGAUCAGUAGCUGGUCUGAGAGGACGACCAGCCACACUGGGACUGAGACACGGCCCAGACUCCUACGGGAGGCAGCAGUGGGGAAUUUUGGACAAUGGGGGCAACCCUGAUCCAGCAAUGCCGCGUGUGUGAAGAAGGCCUUCGGGUUGUAAAGCACUUUUGUCAGGAACGAAACGGUGGAGGCUAAUACCUUCUGCUAAUGACGGUACCUGAAGAAUAAGCACCGGCUAACUACGUGCCAGCCGCCGCAGUAA